GACGAACGCUGGCGGCGUGCUUAACACAUGCAAGUCGAACGGACAGGCCCUGAUCUUGCGGGUUGCUCGAGUGGCGAACGGGUGUGUAAAACGUGAGUAUCAUGUACUUGUAUUUGGGAUAACUUCAGGAAAAUGCGGAUAAUAUCGGAUAGGAGCUCCUGCUGCAUGGUGGGGGUUGGAAAGUUUCGGCGGUUGGGGAUGGACUCGAGGCUUAUCCGCUUGUUGGUGGGGUAGUGGCUUACCAAGGCUUUGACGGGUAGCCGGCCUGGGAGGGGGACCGGCCACAUGAGUACUGAGAGACGGCGCAGACGCGUACGGGAGGCAGCAGUGGGAAACAUUACGCAAUGAGCGGAAGCCUGAGACGGCAACGCCGCGUGCGGGAUGACGUCCUUCUAGUGGUAAACCGCUGUCUCCGGUGACGAAGCGUUAGUGACGGUAAUUGGUAAGGAAGCACCGGCUAACUACGUG
rnacentral:rRNA from 1 species